rnacentral:piRNA from 1 species
CUCAGCCACUUGGUAUUCCUCAGUUGAGAA